GGCGGCAUGCUUUACACAUGCAAGUCGAACGGUAACAGGCCUUCGGGCGCUGACGAGUGGCGAACGGGUGAGUAAUGCAUCGGAACGUGCCCAAUCGUGGGGGAUAACGUAGCGAAAGUUACGCUAAUACCGCAUACGCCCUGUAGGGGGAAAGUGGGGGACCGCAAGGCCUCACGCGAAUGGAGCGGCCGAUGUCAGAUUAGCUAGUUGGUGGGGUAAAGGCUCACCAAGGCGACGAUCUGUAGCGGGUCUGAGAGGAUGAUCCGCCACACUGGGACUGAGACACGGCCCAGACUCCUACGGGAGGCAGCAGUGGGGAAUUUUGGACAAUGGGCGCAAGCCUGAUCCAGCCAUGCCGCGUGCGGGACGAAGGCCUUCGGGUUGUAAACCGCUUUCAGCCGGAAAGAAAUCGCCGUUUUUAAUACAGACGGUGGAUGACGGUACCGGAAGAAGAAGCACCGACUAACUACGUGCCAGCAGCCGCGGUAAUACGUAGGGUGCGAGCGUUAAUCGGAAUUACUGGGCGUAAAGCGUGCGCAGGCGGUUUUGUAAGCCAGACGUGAAAUCCCCGGGCUUAACCUGGGAACUGCGUUUGGAACUGCAAGACUAGAGUGUGUCAGAGGGAGGUGGAAUUCCACGUGUAGCAGUGAAAUGCGUAGAUAUGUGGAGGAACAUCGAUGGCGAAGGCAGCCUCCUGGGAUAACACUGACGCUCAUGCACGAAAGCGUGGGGAGCAAACAGGAUUAGAUACCCUGGUAGUCCACGCCCUAAACGAUGUCAACUGGUUGUUGGGAGAGAAAUCUUUCAGUAACGAAGCUAACGCGUGAAGUUGACCGCCUGGGGAGUACGGCCGCAAGGUUGAAACUCAAAGGAAUUGACGGGGGCCCGCACAAGCGGUGGAUGAUGUGGAUUAAUUCGAUGCAACGCGAAGAACCUUACCUGCUCUUGACAUGCCAGGAACCUUGGAGAGAUCUGAGGGUGCCCGAAAGGGAAUCUGGACACAGGUGCUGCAUGGCUGUCGCCAGCUCGUGUCGUGAGAUGUUGGGUUAAGUCCCGCAACGAGCGCAACCCUUAUCAUUAGUUGCUACGCAAGGGCACUCUAAUGAGACUGCCGGUGACAAACCGGAGGAAGGUGGGGAUGACGUCAAGUCCUCAUGGCCCUUAUGAGCAGGGCUUCACACGUCAUACAAUGGUCGGUACAGAGGGUUGCCAACCCGCGAGGGGGAGCCAAUCCCACAAAGCCGAUCGUAGUCCGGAUCGUAGUCUGCAACUCGACUACGUGAAGUCGGAAUCGCUAGUAAUCGCGGAUCAGCAUGUCGCGGUGAAUACGUUCCCGGGCCUUGUACACACCGCCCGUCACACCAUGGGAGUAGGUUGCUCCAGAAGUAGGUAGCCUAACCGCAAGGAGGC
rnacentral:rRNA from 1 species